rnacentral:lncRNA from 1 species
UACAGAUCCGGAAACUAAUCCUAGUCGGUUACAAUUGCCAUGGAUAAUUCGAUAUCAAUUUCUAUUCUAACCGACUAGAAUCCUGCUUGAUCUCUACAUCUUGUUUCCUUGCGCGAAACUCCGGGUUGUCGGAUCAAGCCCUGAACUCGUCUCGUAAUGGGCCAAGCUUCCUGGCCGAAGUCCAGCCGUAAGGGUAUAGGGGUUUAUACCCCCACAG